AAGCCAUGGUGUGGGCACUCCCUCUGAAGAUCUUUGUACCUUUCUCAUGCAUCAUAGAAAGAUUCAUUAUCUUUCUAUCUAAAGGUAUUGAGUUUAGCUUUAAGUUA